rnacentral:lncRNA from 1 species
UCGCCGGGACAACGGAGUUUCCGAGUUUCCGCACGCGCUGCAGUUUGACCGCGGUACUCCCAGGACCCCAGGGUGCAUUUGAGGAUUUUGCGCCAUGGAGGACCGGACUCGGCUGGACUCGGCUGGUCAGGAUACUUAACCUUUCCUGGCUUUGACCUUCUGCUUCUUCUGGGAGCCCUCUCUGGUCCGAGGCAUUGUCUGGAAACUCAUCACUUCUAAAAUUCCUACCAGGACUCCUCCACCAAUAUAUCUUCUAGGCCUGCGGUGCCCAGAAAGUGGUACCGGACCCUCUCAGGAGGCAGCCCCUGCCAUUCUUCAACCCCGAAUGCUUCUUUGUAUGAGGCCAAAUUUAUGUUCCCCAGACUGCCCCUCUCUGCUCAGAUCUUAGUUCUGCCUCCCAGGGCCUCACUAAACAAGUCCCAUCGCUCUUCUUUCUUUCAUCUAGUCGUAGAUGGAUUAAUACUUUUCCUAUAUCAGUUUCUCUCCCUAAACAGCUCUAGUUCCUUGAAACUUCCAUUAGAAAUAGAAGCUUUUUUUUUUUUUCCCCCUUUUUGCAUCCAACAUUCAUGGAUACCUGAAGCAUUCUGGUUAGGCAGAAUGAUAAUGAUAAUGAUAAUACUCACAACUCAUGAUUCUCCAGCACUCACCAGUGCCAUCCUAAAUAAAACUGUGAGAGAAAUUCUCCAAAGAAAAUUAUGAAAUCAUAUUUAUUGGGGAAUGUGCAACAUUUCAAUGGAAAUUAGCACAACAUCAUAAUGAGAAUGUGUAUACCAUAGUAGCCUAUGCUUAUUUCCAAAAAGAGGAAAAGGAAGUUUUUACAGGCAAAAAUGAGAAUUAUAUCAGAUAUUUUCAAACAACAAUCUUUGACCACAAUGAUUAAUAACAAGAGUGACAUCAAAACUGCGUUUGAACAGAUAAUUGCUCAGUAGAUGUCCUUGUGGAAAUACUUUUUGUGUAAGGUUGUAGUGGCCUCUAUGCAAGUUCUGGAUGUCUUUUGUGAUAGUUACUAUCAAACGAUCAUGUGAAAGAAUUCUUUCUUCUUUAUUUUCUCUGGCUUAAUAUACUUUUUUUCUUAGGGUUGGCACAAGGGAUUCUAUUUUAAUUCUGACAACUUUCACAUUUGCAAUUUUUUUUCCUCUUCACAACACUAUCUCCAGUCCCAGAGAGGAUGGUUGAUGGUGCCAGAAUUAGAAUCCAGGAGUUUCUGAAUCCCAAAUCCAGGAUGCUUAAUCUCUCUACUACCACUGUUUUAGGCCAGGCAAAAUGGAAGAUACACUGUUUUUGAGACUGAAUGUACUUAAAUUUUCUUUUUCAAUGCAACAAAUUUGAGAACACCCUCAGGAAGAGCUCAAUCAAAAUUCAGAAUUGUUUUACUAUCACUAUAGUCCAUAUAAAAUGCAGUGCUGACCAGUGCUUAGCUAUUCCCUCCAGUCCCACCCUAUGCCUAGAGGUGAGAUGCUUCUACUAUUGUAGUAGGCCAGGGAUGAUGCUUAUUACCUGCUGCUUAACUUUAUUCAAUACAACCUGACAGGUAAGUGACCUUCCACAGGGGAAAGGUGCUCUGACUCUUUUCAUUGCUUUCUUUGAUGAAGAAAUUGUGAGGACUGCAGUGGGUAGGGUGGGUAGUUUGGUCUUUAAUGUCCUACAAAGCCCCAUGUGUUGAAGGUAUGGACUCCCUAGUCAACACUUCUAUUGGGAGUUGAUGGAACAUUUUAAGAGGUGUGGCUUAGUGAAAGGCAGUUAGGUUACUGGGGACAAACUAUGACAGGGCAUAGUAGGACCUGGCCCCUUGCUAUUUCUUUCUUUUUUUUUUUUUUUUUGCUUUCAAGCUGCCAUGAAGUCAGCAGCUUUGCUGCUAUGUGCUCCCCCAAUCAUGUACUGCCUCACCACAGCCCCAGAUAGAAUGGGGUCAAGUGGCCAUGGUCUGAAACUUUUGACACCAUGAGCCAAAAUAGACCUUUCCUCUUUAUAAGCUGAUUAUCUGAGGUAUUUUGUCAUAACGAUGGAAAGCUGGAUAACAAAAUAUUGAUAUCCAGUCACUAUAAUCAUACUUCAUUUGAUGGGCAGUCUUAAGGAUGUUGUUCAUCUUUUAAUUUAUUGUUCAUAAUUUGAACCAAUGAAGGGAGACUUUUCCCUCCUACUAAAUUUUUUUCAUAUGGAUUCUGAAGAAAAGGACAAUUUUCAGAAAUAGUCUUUCACACCACACACACACACACACACACACACAAUUUACCAAAAAAAAAUACAAAUUUUCCUUUCUUGUUGCAAGAUGUAUAAUUUAUCUUUUCAGAGGGAAUAAAUCUAUGCAGCCUAGCCACAGCUCAUAUCCACAAACCCUCUCUUCUUACCAUAAGAAUAAAAUGACUGAGGUCUGGUGAUGCCAGAGUUACCUUCCAGAAAAGGAUUUCUCUUUGUUCAUAGCAAACACUGAGGCUGCCGCUGAUUCAUAUUCAUAGUGUUUUCUUCAGAAUUUUAUUCUACACUAACAUUUUCUCAGCAUUACAAGGUGAUUGUUUUUGAAUUAUGGAUUAAAAUAAAGGUGAAUCUUGUACCAAAACUCUGAGAAUUAUAGAUUCCAUCAUUCUAAACUUUGAUAAUUCUUUGAUAAUUCAUUGUUUUAAACUGCUUGGGGGGAAAAGGCCUGGGUUUGUAUUAGAAAGCCAAUAAAUAAAUUGUGGGCAUUUAAAAUAUGUUUUUUAAAAAGUAUAACUAGAUGUUUAUGUAUGGCAUGCUAUGUUACUAAUUUUCUUUCUUCUUGAAUGUGAAUGCACACUUCAGAAUAAAACUCUGUGCAAUCAGUCAAGCCAAAUCAGUAGCAGAUGAUUAAUAAAAUAGGUUGCAGAUAAGAAAGAGAAACAAAGGAGAAAAAAAUGAAAUAAGGACAAAAGAGUGAAAUUAAAUGUUACUUUAAAAUUGUAGAGAAAAUGUCACUAGCUAUUUCUUGCAAGUGACAGCUAUCCAACCCUGACUUUGGCAGCAAUAAAGUGUUUGUGAUAUUUAUUGUGGCAAUAAAUAUUCUGUCCUGCUUUUCAGAAAACAUUUUUUUUCUUUUUCCUACUGUAAGAGUUAGAAAGCAUUCUUAAGCCUUUUUUUAAUCAUUACAUGUGUACAUGUGACUAAGUUCUGGCCAAUGGGACAUAAAUAAAAUUAUGUAAAGGCGUGGCCUUUAAAAAGCAUCUCCCUCACGUUGUUCCUGUUCUUCCUCUAACUGCCCAGAUAUUGGGGUAACAACUGAAACUCUUGGAUCUCACAGAAAUCUCCUCUACCCUGUCCUCCAUUCCUGCGCCUUGGGAAAUUACAUCAAGUAUUACCCAUUCAAUUCCAAUCUCACCCUUUGUCUUGUCUUUCAACUGCUUAUACAAUACUUUCCUUCACUUCUUUAUCCAGUAAAUUGAUUUCUCACUUUAAACAACUGGAUUGCAUUAAAGCCUUCUUAUGUCAUAUACACUUAGGAAAAUCUUUGCCAAUUUCUCAGUAGAUGAACUGAAAAAUCCAUUGUGUGUGUGUGUAUGUGUGUGUGUGUAUGCAUAUAUGUAUAUAUACAUAUAUAUUCAUAUAUAUGUAUAUGUGUGUGUGUGUGUAUAAAGAAUUUUCCAGUGACUUAAAGGAAUUGAACAUUUCAAAAGCCCCAAAUAAAGAUUUUUGGAUGGAAGAAUGUACUUCUAGUAUACUCUUUUAUGGUUUCCUUUAUAAAGUCCUACCAGAAUAAAUUUAAGUUUAGAAGUUUUUCCAAAAUUGAUUUAAGGAAUUUAAAAUAAAGGUUUCAUUACAGAAUACCAUUUUUUUUUCCAGUUUUGGUCUUUUCAGUAUUCUAGGGAAAGUGGUAUUCUAGAUAAUUUAUGAUUUAAAAGUGGGAAGACAUUAUAUAGUAACCAAAUUUAUAGGGGAUUUCAUCAUAGAAUUGGUCUGUUUAAUUUCAGAAAAUAGGUGUGAAUGACAAUGUUCAUAGUUUUAAGAAGCAAAAGUCAUUCAGCCUAAAAGAGACCUUGCCAAGAGCAGAAAAAAAGCAUUACCAUCUGUCAUACAUUUAUGCUUUUUUUUGGUAUAAUAAAUUGUUUCCCCCACUAAAUAUAAGUUGAAACUUUAUAAGCAUAUACUUUACUACAUAAAUUUUCCCAUAUGUCAGUGACUAAAACAAAACUAUACUAUUUGGAGAAUUUUCUUUCUCAUUGGCAGGGUUACCCCUGAUUUAUUUGAUUUAGUAUUUCCAGUAAGAUUUUGCGUUUAAUAUGUUUAGCUCAAGGACUGUCUACUUUAGGGAUACACUGUUUCUUUAGGGGGCUAAGAAUACUGAGUAAGUUAUUCAAGUUUUACACUUUUAGUCACAGUGUUCAGUUAACUCUUACUCAAAUGGAAGUCAACUACGUUGUGCCUUCUCAUAGAUGAAAGGGUCUAGCCAGCUAUUGAUGCACCCUGUAUUUCCACUGUUAACAGGUAACAUCAGGAGUUAUGGACCAAUUCACAUCUGGACUAGCCUUUCAGGUAUUCAAAAUCCAUUUAGCUGCAGCAACCAGCUUGCUUUUGAUUAAGAAGACCUCAUAGAUAUCUACUGAUCUCUCCAGUUUGCAUCCUAUUUCCAAGAACAAUUUUCACUAUAGGUAUAUCUUGUUUACAUUCUGAAAUUUGUGUUUCUAACAUAUAUAGAGCUAGUAAUAUUGCACCAUACUAUAAUGCUGUGCCUUUGGGUCUAUAUUGUGUGUUAUGCAGAGGGCUAGAUGUCUUUCAGUUACAAGGCCCAGAACAUAUGGAGAAUAUUACACCUACGUCCAGUGGUCAGCAAUAGCUUCCUAUUCAGUCUUGAGUGCAAUUUAAAGUGUUGACUUUAAUCUUUAAAGCCCCUCAUUGUUUAGAAGCCAGUUACUCCAGAUAUCACGUCUCUGCCUAUGCAUCAUCAUGGCAAUUAAAAUCAGCUGCAGUGCUUGAAGUUCACAAUCCCGAGUGAGUUGUGGGGAGCUUGGGAAUAGAUCAUUUUCUAAAGAACUUCCCUAAGAACUCUGUAUAUCUGUGAUAAAAGCAGUGUUUGGAGUUUACAGUUUUAUAUUUAAAUUUCGUUUUAUAUAAGUCUCUAGCACCAUUGGUAAGGGUUUUUGAUUUAAUUUUUAUGUUAUUUAUGGCAAGAGUGUUUAGAAUACCAUAUCUAUUUUUUAAUGAAUCAGAAAAAUAACAGUUGUACAUAUUAAAAAUAGACAAAGUUAAAAUGCAUCUGUUUCAUAUUUGUUAGUGUGGGAUUUUUCACUCUAGUGUUCUCUCACUCAAGUUUUUCUUUGAAUCUAAUUUUAAAUAUAUUCAGUAAAGGGAUUUGCCCUUAAUCCUUUGGGGACCAUUUCAAAAUCCAUAACUCAUGGUAAGUCAUUUCUGUAAGUGCUUAGCUAAAUGUUUGAUUUCUUAAUGUUUUAUCAGAUGUCUGUUACUUAUAAAUUUUUGCUGUGUUAAAUAAAACUUUCUUCUUGUUGUGUUUCAGGUUCACAAUCUGUGGUUCAGGUGACCUAUUUCUGCUUAACAGACUAUACUUCACAUUGUGCUAGAUUAUGGAGCAAUCCUUUGGAAAGGAAAGAUGAUUGAUUGUAGAGCUUCAAGGAACUGAUAGCACUGUAUGUGAUGGCUUUUCAACUUCUCUAUUCCUCUUACCCAGGCUGACCCUCAACAUUCUAAAAAAUGCAGGGUGUCCAAAUGACUUCUGGAGAAAUGUCUCUGCCAACGACUUUACAAAUAUUAAAUGAAACUGUGCAUA